rnacentral:tRNA from 3 species
GCGGGUGUGGCGGAACUGGUAGACGCACCAGAUUUAGGUUCUGGCGCCGCAAGGUGUGGGGGUUCGAGUCCCUCCACCCGCACCA